rnacentral:rRNA from 1 species
UAAAGAAUUUCGGUAUGGGAUGGGGAUGCGUUCCAUUAGUUAGUUGGCGGGGUAACGGCCCACCAAGACAACGAUGGAUAGGGGUUCUGAGAGGAAGGUCCCCCACAUUGGAACUGAGACACGGUCCAAACUCCUACGGGAGGCAGCAGUGAGGAAUAUUGGUCAAUGGACGAGAGUCUGAACCAGCCAAGUAGCGUGAAGGAUGACUGCCCUAUGGGUUGUAAACUUCUUUUAUAUGGGAAUAAAAUGUUCCACGUGUGGGAUUUUGUAUGUACCAUAUGAAUAAGGAUCGGCUAACUCCGUGCCAGCAGCCGCGGUAAUACGGAGGAUCCGAGCGUUAUCCGGAUUUAUUGGGUUUAAAGGGAGCGUAGGUGGAUUGUUAAGUCAGUUGUGAAAGUUUGCGGCUCAACCGUAAAAUUGCAGUUGAAACUGGCAGUCUUGAGUACAGUAGAGGUGGGCGGAAUUCGUGGUGUAGCGGUGAAAUGCUUAGAUAUCACGAAGAACUCCGAUUGCGAAGGCAGCUCACUGGACUGCAACUGACACUGAGGCUCGAAAGUGUGGGUAUCAAACAGGAUUAGAUACCCUGGUAGUCCACACAGUAAACGAUGAAUACUCGCUGUUUG